CCUACGGGAGGCUGCAGUGGGGAAUAUUGCACAAUGGGGGAAACCCUGAUGCAGCGACGCCGCGUGAGUGAAGAAGUAACUCGGUAUGUAAAGCUCUAUCAGCAGGGAAGAAAAUGAAGGUACCUGAGUAAGAAGCCGCGGCUAACUACGUGCCAGCAACCGCGGUAAUACGGAGGGGGCAAGCGUUAUCCGGAUUUAAUGGGUGUAAAGGGAGCGUAGACGGCAGUGCAAGUCUGGAGUGAAAGGCGGGGGCUCAACCCCCGGACUGCUCUGGAAACUGUACGGCUGGAGUGCAGGAGAGGUAAGUGGAAUUCCUAGUGUAGCGGUGAAAUGCGUAGAUAUUAGGAAGAACACCAGUGGCGAAGGCGGCUUACUGGACUGUAACUGACGUUGAGGCUCGAAAGCGUGGGGAGCAAACAGGAUUAGAUACCCCAGUAGUC
rnacentral:rRNA from 1 species